ACCUACUUUCUUCUCCGCUCACUCGCUCCCCCCCUCUCCCGCUCCUUUGCACUGCUACUGCUCGUGCUGCGCUCGCUGCUAUUCUCUAGGACAGAGCCACACUCGCAUCCAGCUCAUCGUUGCUCCGCCUGUUCGCGCUCUCUUCCUCCCUCCUUGACCUCCAUGGCAUCGGAGAGAAGGGCAACGACGGCAACUUCCGGCGAGCCACUCCCUCCCUACCUCCCUUCUCUUCUCUGUGACCUCCAUGCCCCCGAAGAUGAUGGCUAUGGCACAACUUUCCAGCGAGGUAGUGCCUCCUCUGCUUGGUGUUAUUUUGGGGUACCCAAAAGAUCCCAUACCUCAGUUGGUGGUGGAAAUCAGUGCCAGAUAGAAGAAGUGACAAGAAUCCUUGAUGAUAACCUCAAAUCUGUAGCGAGCACCGGCGGAGCCAAGGCCCGGCCACCCUGGGCAGCUGGCCGGGCUCCCACGGUACAACAGAGGCGGGAGGGGAGAGGGAGGUGCGUACGCAGGGUCGCCGGCCGGUGCACGGAGGACGGAGGCGAGGACGCUGGCGAGGACCUGACUAAAUUCCGAACGUUCAUCCGAUUCGAAUCAAGCGAACGAUCCGACAGCGGCUGCAAUUUCUAUUUUAGAAAUAGACAAAUCCCACCACUUUCCCUAUUCGGACGACUUCGUGGAACUCUCUCUAAAAAGAUUUACUCUACAAUCGAAGGUGGACCUUGAUGAUUCUGAGGACUAGGUUCUUCUAGAGAAGCCCAACACAACUGACAACCGUGGGUUGGUGAUAAAGCUAAAUGAUAUCAGUGGAAAAGUUUUUGCCAUAUCAUUUAGCAAUCAUCAGCAUAAAAUGUUCUUGCAUGUGAUGGAGAUGGUGAGAAGUUAAAGCUUUACCAGCUUGAUCAUCCUAUAAAAUGUUAUGAGAGAUUUGGGACCUGAGAGUAAAUAAACCAACACACAGGUUAGAGAAUUAUUUCUUAUUAUUAAGUGGUACUUAAUUUCCUAUUAUUCAAUCUAUCAUGGCUUCCAAACAAAUUGACCAAAAGAACAAGCAUUGCACUGAGAUUCAUUGGAAUGCAAACUAUCCUGUGGAGUUUGUUGCCGGAUCAGUAGGUGAUGAUACCACAGUCAAGGAGUGGUGUCGCUUUCCUGGUGUGGUAAUCCAGAUGUAAUCAUGACCACAGCUAUGGAUGGAGGGGUUGACUGCUGCAAACUCAGGCCUUGUUUAGUUCACCCCAAAAAGCAAAAUCUUUUCAAGAUUCCCCGUCACAUCGAAUCUUACGCCACAUGCAUGGAGUAUUAAAUAUAGACGAAAAUAAAAACUAAUUGCACAGUUU